GCGGGCAGGCGGCGUCGGCGUCGGCACCAACGGAGAAGGUCACCGGAGGUAAUUAUAUAUGUUAUUUUGAAUUUUAAAAAUAAUUUUUUUUUUUUAAAUUUAACCGAAGUAAAAAAAAAAAAAGUAGAAAGAAGAAGAAGAGCUGGGGGAAGGGGAAGAAGAGCUGGGGGAAGAAGAAUUGGGGGAGGAGAGAGAUUAAAGACGCCGCUGACACGGGCGUCUUUAGGAGACGCCGUUGUCAGCGGCGUCUUCUGGUCAAAGGCGCAACUCCCGAGGUGGACUGAUCCGGCUGUCUUCAUUUGGACCGUCGGAUCAACUUGAAUCUGCACCGUU
rnacentral:lncRNA from 1 species